AAUGGACUCUUCCAUGGACCCAGGCAUCCAAGCAGAAACCUGGACGUCACUUUAACUCUUCAAAUACAGAGCCUUCAGGUCCCCGAGCUUUUUAACAUAUGCAUAUCCAGCAAAAGCAGAAGAGAACAUGGCUGUGUUUCAAAGACUCUUCUGCAGGCCUACAGAGCAGCUCGCUAAAAUUCACCUGCGGCGCCAUCUGCCGGCCGCGCCGCCCCGCUGCAAGGCCCUGCCCA